UGUAAUGAAUAGAUCAAAAUGAGUCUUGAGGUCAUUACAGGUAAUGUUCUUCUAUUGCUUCUUUUCAUUUGGUUUUUACAAUAAAUGCAAAGUGAUUGUUUUGUUACAAGUAGUAAACACUGCACAAAUCCAUAACAAAUAUUGAGUAGUUUCUCGCUUUUUCUUUUUUAUAUUAUACUGGUAAGGGUUGUAUUAUGUUUUGAUUUCACUGUUUCUUUUGGUCAUAUUUGAAAGGGAGAGUUAGCCGUUGAGGUUACAAAUGAAGGUGUUGAUGCUGCAUAACAUACAAUUGGUACAUCUUUGGAGGUCGUGUUCAAAAUUAGGAAAGUUCUCAACCCCAAGAGUGUGAUCAAACCAACAUCACUAGCUAAAGAUUAUUUUGAGAGUAACAUCUAUCGAAUAAAUUUCAGACGAAAGACCUUGGUAAACUCCUAUAUUUUUUGGGUAUUGAGGUAGUCCAAUUUAAAGAUGAUAUGGUAAUUUCUAUGGGGAAAUAUGCUAUGGCUACUUUUGAAGAAACAAGUUUGUAGAUAAUGCAUUCAUAGAAAGUAAGUCACUUUAACUUGUUGGUAUGAUCCACAGAUAACUAGAAAUACUAUGUUUGGUUUGGUAGGACUUUCUAACUGUAUGUUGUUCUUUUUCCUUUUUCAAAGACUUCCCAUAAAGGUCAAGGUCACUUUUUUAUGCUUAUAACAUCAUGUGUUGUUAUAAUUUCGUCUUUUUGUUUACUCUAAAAUGUUACUCUUUUUAUUUCCCAAGAUUAUUUGGAAGUGAUAACUAACUUGUUCGUCGGAGUGUUUGUAGGAAGGUAUGUACGCUUUUGUCAUGAAUAGAUCAAAAUGAGUCUUGAGGUUAUUACAGGGAGAGCAGACCGUUUAGGUUACAAAUGAAGGUGUUGAUGCUGCAUGGCAUACAAUUGGUACAUCUUUGGAGGUCGUGUUCAAACUUAGGAAGGUUCUCAACCCCAAGAGUGUGAUCAAACCAACAUCACUAGCUAAAGAUUAUUUUGAGAAUAACACCUAUCGAAUAAAUUUCAGACGAAAGACCUUGGUAAACUCUUAUAUUUUUUGGGUAUUGAGGUAGUCCAAUUUAAAGAUGAUAUGGUAAUUUCUAUGGGGAAAUAUGCUAUGGCUACUUUUGAAGAAACAAGUUUGUAGAUAAUGCAUUCAUAGAAAGUAAGUCACUUUAACUUGUUGGUAUGAUCCAUAGAUAACUAGAAAUACUAUGUUUGGUUUGGUUGGACUUUCUAACUGUAUUUUGUUCUUUUUCCUUUUUCAAAGACUUCCCAUAAAGGUCAAUGUCAAAUUUUUAUGCUUAUAACAUCAUGUGUUGUUAUAAUUUCGUCUUUUUGUUUACUCUAAAAUGUUACUCUUUUUAUUUCCCAAGAUUAUUUGGAAGUGAUAACUAACUUGUUCGUCGGAGUGUUUGUAGGAAGGUAUGUACGCUCUUGUCAUGAAUAGAUCAAAAUGAGUCUUGAGGUCAUUACAGGGAGAGCCAGCCGUUGAGGUUAGAAAUGAAGGUGUUGAUGCUGCAGGGCAUACAAUUGGUACAUCUUUGGAGGUCGUGUUCAAACUUAGGAAGGUUCUCAACCCCAAGAGUGUGAUCAAACCAACAUCACUCGCUAAAGAUUAUUUUGAGAAUAACAUCUAUCUAAUAAAUUUCAGACGAAAGACCUUGGUAAACUCCUAUAUUUUUUGGGUAUUGAGGUAGUCCAAUCUAAAGAUGAUAUGGUAAUU